rnacentral:rRNA from 1 species
AUUGAACGCUGGCGGCAUGCUUUACACAUGCAAGUCGAACGGUAACAGGUUAAGCUGACGAGUGGCGAACGGGUGAGUAAUGCAUCGGAACGUGCCCAAUCGUGGGGGAUAACGCAGCGAAAGCUGCGCUAGUACCGCAUACGAUUUGAGGAUGAAAGCGGGGGACCGUAAGGCCUCGCGCGAUCGGAGCGGCCGAUGUCAGAUUAGGUAGUUGGUGGGGUAAAGGCUCACCAAGCCAACGAUCUGUAGCUGGUCUGAGAGGACGACCAGCCACACUGGGACUGAGACACGGCCCAGACUCCUACGGGAGGCAGCAGUGGGGAAUUUUGGACAAUGGGCGAAAGCCUGAUCCAGCAAUGCCGCGUGCAGGAAGAAGGCCUUCGGGUUGUAAACUGCUUUUGUACGGAGCGAAAAGGCUCUCUCUAAUACAGGGGGCUCAUGACGGUACCGUAAGAAUAAGCACCGGCUAACUACGUGCCAGCAGCCGCAGUAA